rnacentral:tRNA from 1 species
ACCUGGCUGGCUCAGUGGGUAGAGCAUGUGAUUUUUGAUCUCAGGGUCAUGAGUUCAAGCCCCAUGUUGGGCA